rnacentral:tRNA from 1 species
CCGACUAGUUCCGGGUUCGAGUCCC